rnacentral:rRNA from 1 species
GGUUAAGCGACUAAGCGUACACGGUGGAUGCCCUGGCAGUCAGAGGCGAUGAAGGACGUGCUAAUCUGCGAUAAGCGUCGGUAAGGUGAUAUGAACCGUUAUAACCGGCGAUUUCCGAAUGGGGAAACCCAGUGUGUUUCGACACACUAUCAUUAACUGAAUCCAUAGGUUAAUGAGGCGAACCGGGGAACUGAAACAUCUAAGUACCCCGAGGAAAAGAAAUCAACCGAGAUUCCCCCAGUAGCGGCGAGCGAACGGGGAGGAGCCCAGAGCCUGAAUCAGUGUGUGUGUUAGUGGAAGCGUCUGGAAAGGCGCGCGAUACAGGGUGACAGCCCCGUACACAAAAAUGCACAUACUGUGAGCUCGAUGAGUAGGGCGGGACACGUGGUAUCCUGUCUGAAUAUGGGGGGACCAUCCUCCAAGGCUAAAUACUCCUGACUGACCGAUAGUGAACCAGUACCGUGAGGGAAAGGCGAAAAGAACCCCGGCGAGGGGAGUGAAAAAGAACCUGAAACCGUGUACGUACAAGCAGUGGGAGCCUCUUUAUGGGGGUGACUGCGUACCUUUUGUAUAAUGGGUCAGCGACUUAUAUUCUGUAGCAAGGUUAACCGAAUAGGGGAGCCGAAGGGAAACCGAGUCUUAACUGGGCGUUAAGUUGCAGGGUAUAGACCCGAAACCCGGUGAUCUAGCCAUGGGCAGGUUGAAGGUUGGGUAACACUAACUGGAGGACCGAACCGACUAAUGUUGAAAAAUUAGCGGAUGACUUGUGGCUGGGGGUGAAAGGCCAAUCAAACCGGGAGAUAGCUGGUUCUCCCCGAAAGCUAUUUAGGUAGCGCCUCGUGAAUUCAUCUCCGGGGGUAGAGCACUGUUUCGGCAAGGGGGUCAUCCCGACUUACCAACCCGAUGCAAACUGCGAAUACCGGAGAAUGUUAUCACGGGAGACACACGGCGGGUGCUAACGUCCGUCGUGAAGAGGGAAACAACCCAGACCGCCAGCUAAGGUCCCAAAGUCAUGGUUAAGUGGGAAACGAUGUGGGAAGGCCCAGACAGCCAGGAUGUUGGCUUAGAAGCAGCCAUCAUUUAAAGAAAGCGUAAUAGCUCACUGGUCGAGUCGGCCUGCGCGGAAGAUGUAACGGGGCUAAACCAUGCACCGAAGCUGCGGCAGCGACACUAUGCGUUGUUGGGUAGGGGAGCGUUCUGUAAGCCUGCGAAGGUGUGCUGUGAGGCAUGCUGGAGGUAUCAGAAGUGCGAAUGCUGACAUAAGUAACGAUAAAGCGGGUGAAAAGCCCGCUCGCCGGAAGACCAAGGGUUCCUGUCCAACGUUAAUCGGGGCAGGGUGAGUCGACCCCUAAGGCGAGGCCGAAAGGCGUAGUCGAUGGGAAACAGGUUAAUAUUCCUGUACUUGGUGUUACUGCGAAGGGGGGACGGAGAAGGCUAUGUUGGCCGGGCGACGGUUGUCCCGGUUUAAGCGUGUAGGCUGGUUUUCCAGGCAAAUCCGGAAAAUCAAGGCUGAGGCGUGAUGACGAGGCACUACGGUGCUGAAGCAACAAAUGCCCUGCUUCCAGGAAAAGCCUCUAAGCAUCAGGUAACAUCAAAUCGUACCCCAAACCGACACAGGUGGUCAGGUAGAGAAUACCAAGGCGCUUGAGAGAACUCGGGUGAAGGAACUAGGCAAAAUGGUGCCGUAACUUCGGGAGAAGGCACGCUGAUAUGUAGGUGAAGCGACUUGCUCGUGGAGCUGAAAUCAGUCGAAGAUACCAGCUGGCUGCAACUGUUUAUUAAAAACACAGCACUGUGCAAACACGAAAGUGGACGUAUACGGUGUGACGCCUGCCCGGUGCCGGAAGGUUAAUUGAUGGGGUUAGCGGUAACGCGAAGCUCUUGAUCGAAGCCCCGGUAAACGGCGGUACCGUAACUAUAACGGUCCUAAGGUAGCGAAAUUCCUUGUCGGGUAAGUUCCGACCUGCACGAAUGGCGUAAUGAUGGCCGGGCUGUCUCCACCCGAGACUCAGUGAAAUUGAACUCGCUGUGAAGAUGCAGUGUACCCGCGGCAAGACGGAAAGACCCCGUGAACCUUUACUAUAGCUUGACACUGAACAUUGAGCCUUGAUGUGUAGGAUAGGUGGGAGGCUUUGAAGUGUGGACGCCAGUCUGCAUGGAGCCGACCUUGAAAUACCACCCUUUAAUGUUUGAUGUUCUAACGUUGGCCCGUAAUCCGGGUUGCGGACAGUGUCUGGUGGGUAGUUUGACUGGGGCGGUCUCCUCCUAAAGAGUAACGGAGGAGCACGAAGGUUGGCUAAUCCUGGUCGGACAUCAGGAGGUUAGUGCAAUGGCAUAAGCCAGCUUGACUGCGAGCGUGACGGCGCGAGCAGGUGCGAAAGCAGGUCAUAGUGAUCCGGUGGUUCUGAAUGGAAGGGCCAUCGCUCAACGGAUAAAAGGUACUCCGGGGAUAACAGGCUGAUACCGCCCAAGAGUUCAUAUCGACGGCGGUGUUUGGCACCUCGAUGUCGGCUCAUCACAUCCUGGGGCUGAAGUAGGUCCCAAGGGUAUGGCUGUUCGCCAUUUAAAGUGGUACGCGAGCUGGGUUUAGAACGUCGUGAGACAGUUCGGUCCCUAUCUGCCGUGGGCGCUGGAGAACUGAGGGGGCUGCUCCUAGUACGAGAGGACCGGAGUGGACGCAUCACUGGUGUUCGGGUUGUCAUGCCAAUGGCACUGCCCGGUAGCUAAAUGCGGAAGAGAUAAGUGCUGAAAGCAUCUAAGCACGAAACUUGCCCCGAGAUGAGUUCUCCCUGAGACUUUAAGUCUCCUGAAGGAACGUUGAAGACGACGACGUUGAUAGGCCGGGUGUGUAAGCGCAGCGAUGCGUUGAAGCUAACCGGUACUAAUGAACCGUGAGGCUUAACCUU